rnacentral:piRNA from 1 species
GUUUUAGCAAAGAGAAUGGCAGCAUUUUGU